GACGAACGCUGGCGGCGUGCUUAACACAUGCAAGUCGAACGGGGAUUCAGCAAUGGAUCUUAGUGGCGAACGGGUGAGUAACGCGUAGGCAAUCUGCCUUCUAGAUGGGGACAACAUCCCGAAAGGGGUGCUAAUACCGAAUGUUGUAGCGACUUCGCAUGAAGUUGUUACUAAAGGUGGCCUCUGAACAUGCUACCGCUAGAAGAUGAGCCUGCGUCUGAUUAGCUAGUUGGAGGGGUAACGGCCCACCAAGGCUUCGAUCAGUAGCCGGUCUGAGAGGAUGAACGGCCACACUGGGACUGAGACACGGCCCAGACUCCUACGGGAGGCAGCAGUGGGGAAUCUUCCGCAAUGGACGAAAGUCUGACGGAGCAACGCCGCGUGAGUGAAGAAGGUUUUCGGAUCGUAAAGCUCUUUCGUCAGGGACGAACGUAUUUCUUGUAAAUAAUGAGAGAUAGUGACGGUACCUGAAUAAGAAGCCACGGCUAACUACGUGCCAGCAGCCGCGGUAAUACGUAGGUGGCAAGCGUUGUCCGGAAUUAUUGGGCGUAAAGCGCGCGCAGGCGGGAUAUCAAGUCUGUCUUAAAAGUGCGAGGCUCAACCUCGUGAGGGGACAGAAACUGGUAUUCUUGAGUGUCGGAGAGGAAAGUGGAAUUCCAAGUGUAGCGGUGAAAUGCGUAGAGAUUUGGAAGAACACCAGUGGCGAAGGCGACUUUCUGGACGAUGUCUGACGCUGAGGCGCGAAAGCUAGGGGAGCGAACGGGAUUAGAUACCCCGGUAGUCCUAGCCGUAAACGAUGGGUACUAGGUGUAGGGGGUAUCGACCCCUCCUGUGCCGGAGUUAACGCAAUAAGUACCCCGCCUGGGGAGUACGGCCGCAAGGUUGA
rnacentral:rRNA from 1 species